UACGUAGGUGGCAAGCGUUGUCCGGAAUUACUGGGUGUAAAGCGCGUGUAGGUGGUGGGCCAAGUCUGUGGUGAAAUCGCCCGGCUCAACUGGGCGGGGUCCGUGGAAACUGGUCGACUGGAGGACGGUAGAGGCGAGUGGAAUUCCCGGUGUAGUGGUGAAAUGCGUAGAGAUCGGGAGGAACACCAGUGGCGAAGGCGGCUCGCUGGGCCGGUCCUGACACUGAGACGCGAAGGCGUGGGGAGCGAACGGG
rnacentral:rRNA from 1 species